rnacentral:tRNA from 1 species
AGGACUGUAGUUAAAAAUAACAUUUAAUUUGCAAUUAGAAAGUAUUGAAAAAUCAAUCUGUCUUA